UCCAGUUUUACACUGGCAGUAUCCCAAGAGUGCCCAGCAUAACCUGAUGGCAACAUGGGAAGAGGGUUGCGCUCGUUGCGGGACUUAACCCAACAUCUCACGACACGAGCUGACGACAACCAUGCACCACCUGUCAUACUGCCCUUGCGGGCGGCAAUAUUUCUAUUACCUACAGUAUGGUGUCAAACCUUGGUAAGGUUCUUCGCGUUGCGUCGAAUUAAGCCACAUGCUCCGCCGCUUGUGCGGGCCCCCGUCAAUUCCUUUGAGUUUUAGCCUUGCGGCCGUACUCCCCAGGCGGGACACUUAAUGCGUUAGCUUCGGCACGGAAGGCGUCGAUAACCCCCCACACCUAGUGUCCAUCGUUUACAGCUAAGACUAC
rnacentral:misc_RNA from 1 species